UGCGCAGGCGGAAUGGUAAGUCAGUGGUGAAAUCCUACAGCUUAACUGUAGAACUGCCAUUGAUACUGUCAUUCUUGAGUACAUAUGAAGUGGGCGGAAUGUGUCAUGUAGUGGUGAAAUGCAUAGAUAUGACACAGAACACCGAUAGCGAAGGCAGCUCACUAAAUUGUAACUGACGCUCAUGCACGAAAGCGUGGGGAGCAAACAGGAUUAGAUACCCUGGUAGUCC
rnacentral:rRNA from 1 species